AGAUCUUGAGGGCGGGGCCCAGCUUGAUGUUCAUGGCCGACACCAGGUGGUCCUCCUUCAGCAGCAUCAGCGCCUGUCCGUCGAUCUCCUGCGACAAGAAGAGCGCCGCCAGAUCCUCGCAGCCUGAAACGCAACAUGCCGGCGGAUACGUCACGCAUUCAAACUACAGCGGUGAAAAAGAAGGCUAAAAUCAUCCUUCGCUCCCGUCCCACCUUGAGCGAAAGCGACUGGCCCGCGAUCUUGGCGCUAGCGAUUUCCGAGCUGGUCCGGCGCGGCACCUUCCUCCUCCUCCUCGUCCUCUGGGCCACGUCGCAUUCCUCCUCCGAGUUGGAGAGGUGACUUCGAUGCUCCCAAGAUGGCCGCCUGCCAAAGGUGAGCUUGUGCCUUGCGGAACCACAACAUACGACGUCAGAGGCAAAGACCGAGUGGGCCGGGAUUCCUGGCCUCCUCUAAUUGCCGGUCAUGAAUAAGCCGAAGUACGCCUCAGUGCAGUUCAGUUGUAUUGACCUUUUAAGUCCAAUACAGUUGCAUUAAGAACUGUUUGCUUGUACUUCUAUUAAAUCAUAUUUAAGGAGAGUUUUUUUUUAUAUUUGGUACAUGCUUUUUUGUUUUGUUUUCCAGUCUUGGCAUAAACUGUUUACAAACAUGCAGACAAUAAAUGGACAAAGUGUGACAGCUGCA